rnacentral:rRNA from 1 species
UACGAAGGGGGCUAGCGUUGCUCGGAAUCACUGGGCGUAAAGCGCACGUAGGCGGAUUCUUAAGUCAGGGGUGAAAUCCUGGAGCUCAACUCCAGAACUGCCUUUGAUACUGGGAAUCUCGAGUCCGGGAGAGGUGAGUGGAACUGCGAGUGUAGAGGUGAAAUUCGUAGAUAUCGGGAGGAACACCAAUGGAGAAGGCAGCUAGCUGGGACGGUACUGACGCUGAGACGCGAAAGCGUGGGGAGCAAACAGG